AACGAACGCUGGCGGCAGGCUUAACACAUGCAAGUCGAGCGCCCCGCAAGGGAAGCGGCAGACGGGUGAGUAACGCGUGGGAACCUACCCAUCUCUACGGAAUAACGCAUGGAAACGUGUGCUAAUACCGUAUACGUCCUUCGGGAGAAAGAUUUAUCGGAGAUGGAUGAGCCCGCGUUGGAUUAGCUAGUUGGUGGGGUAAAGGCCUACCAAGGCGACGAUCCAUAGCUGGUCUGAGAGGAUGAUCAGCCACACUGGGACUGAGACACGGCCCAGACUCCUACGGGAGGCAGCAGUGGGGAAUAUUGGACAAUGGGCGCAAGCCUGAUCCAGCCAUGCCGCGUGAGUGAUGAAGGCCCUAGGGUUGUAAAGCUCUUUCACCGGUGAAGAUAAUGACGGUAACCGGAGAAGAAGCCCCGGCUAACUUCGUACCAGCAGCCGCCGUAAAAC
rnacentral:rRNA from 1 species